rnacentral:lncRNA from 1 species
CCACCCACAGCUCAAGUGCAAAAACUGCGGGGCCUUUGGCCACACGGCCAGAAGUACCAGGUGCCCCAUGAAGUGCUGGAAGGCAGCCCUGGUUCCAGCGACCUUGGGGAAAAAGGAAGGGAAGGAAAACCUGAAACCAUGGAAGCCCCGGGGUGAAGCCAACCCGGGGCCCUUGAACAAGGAUAAGGGAGAGAAGGAAGAGAGACCAAGGCAACAAGACCCGCAGAGGAAGGCUCUCCUCCACAUGUUUUCCGGGAAACCUCCAGAGAAGCCGCUGCCGAAUGGAAAAGGAUCCACGGAAUCUUCUGAUUAUCUGAGGGUUGCAAGCGGGCCAAUGCCGGUCCACACAACCAGUAAGAGGCCGCGCUUGGACCCUGUCCUCGCUGAUCGCUCCGCAACCGAAAUGUCUGGCAGGGGCUCCGUCUUGGCUUCACUGUCUCCCCUCAGAAAAGCCAGCCUGAGCUCCUCCUCAAGUCUUGGACCAAAGGAAAGACAGACUGGGGCUGCGGCCGACAUGCCUCAGCCUGCAGUCAGGCACCAGGGCCGCGAGCCUCUCCUCGUGGUGAAGCCGACACACAGCCGCCCCGAGGGUGGCUGCCGAGAAGUU